GUUGAAUGUCUUCUUUUCUUGGAUCUAAUUUCAAAAAAGAAAAGCGAAAACUCAGUUUGAAAAUUUUGCAUUGAUGCUGCAGGGAAUUAAGAAAAUAUUUGGAAAGCUAUGAAAAUCCCAAGGGUCUUUUAAAACUUAUUUUUUAAAAAAGGGAAAGAAGUUUAGCAUUCCACAAUGGAAGAAAAUCAUUCGAUGGAAUAUUUCAUGAAGCAAUGAAAAAGGUUCCAAUUUCAGGACAAAUAAUGUAAUAUUUUGUUGAAUAUUAA